CACAAUUCUUUAAUCCCACACAGCCAAUGCACACCAGCUCCAGAGAUGGGAACUUCCACCCUUCACGCAGCAACAUUAAAGCGCACUGGAACCCAUACAAACAAAACAGGAAACUGACUGAGUAUUCAGGGGAAAGAGUGAAACUGACUAUACAUAAAGUGCUGUCAAAUGCACAAAGUGACCUGAAAACGGAAGAGA